rnacentral:rRNA from 1 species
UCGAUUCCCUUAGUAGCGGCGAGCGAAACGGGAAGAGCCCAAACCAACAAGCUUGCUUGUUGGGGUUGUAGGACACUCUAUACGGAGUUACAAAGGACGACAUUAGACGAAUCAUCUGGAAAGAUGAAUCAAAGAAGGUAAUAAUCCUGUAGUCGAAAAUGUUGUCUCUCUUGAGUGGAUCCUGAGUACGACGGAGCACGUGAAAUUCCGUCGGAAUCUGGGAGGACCAUCUCCUAAGGCUAAAUACUCUCUAGUGACCGAUAGUGAACCAGUACCGUGAGGGAAAGGUGAAAAGCACCCCGGAAGGGGAGUGAAAUAGAACCUGAAACCGUGUGCUUACAAGUAGUCAGAGCCCGUUAAUGGGUGAUGGCGUGCCUUUUGUAGAAUGAACCGGCGAGUUACGAUUUGAUGCAAGGUUAAGCAGUAAAUGUGGAGCCGUAGC